UUAAGUUCAGCGGGUAGUCCCACCCGAUUUGAGGUCAAAUUGUCAAAGAUUGUCUUGUCAGGACGGUUGGAAGCAUAGAGCCAUGUCAAGCAGACGUGACCCUGAGGGUCAACUCCGGUGAAGAUUUAUCACACCAAAUACGCCGCAAAGCAGGGGUACACUAAGGCAUUUCAGACGAGCCGUUUGCGACACAGCAACAU
rnacentral:misc_RNA from 1 species